UACGUAGGGUGCGAGCGUUAAUCGGAUUUACUGGGCGUAAAGGGCGCGUAGGCGGCUCGUUAAGUGUGAAGUGAAAUCCCUAGGGCUCAACCCAGGAACUGCUUUACAUACUGGCGGGCUUGAGGAUCGAAGAGGCUUGUGGAAUUCCUGGUGUAGCGGUGAAAUGCGUUGAUAUCAGGAGGAACACCCAUGGCGAAGGCAGCAAGCUGGUCGAUUCCUGACGCUGAGGCGCGAAAGCGUGGGUAGCAAACAGG
rnacentral:rRNA from 1 species